GGGAUAACCUGGGGAAACUCGGGCUAAUACCGCAUAAUCUCUUUGGAGCAAAGCGGGGGAUCUUCGGACCUCGUGCUAUAAGAUGAGCCUACGUCGGAUUAGCUUGUUGGUGGGGUAAUGGCCUACCAAGGCGACGAUCCGUAGCUGGUCUGAGAGGACGAUCAGCCACACUGGGACUGAGACACGGCCCAGACUCCUACGGGAGGCAGCAGUGGGGAAUAUUGGACAAUGGGGGAAACCCUGAUCCAGCAAUGCCGCGUGUGUGAAGAAGGCCUUCGGGUUGUAAAGCACUUUCGGUGGGGAAGAAAUUCUCAAGGGUAAUAUCCUUGGGCGUUGACGUUACCCACAGAAGAAGCACUGGCUAACUCUGUGCCAGCAGCCGCGGUAAUACAGAGAGUGCAAGCGUUAAUCGGAAUCACUGGGCGUAAAGCGCGCGUAGGUGGAUAUUUAAGUCGGAUGUGAAAGCCCUGGGCUUAACCUGGGAAUUGCACCCGAUACUGGGUAUCUUGAGUAUGGUAGAGGGAAGUGGAAUUUCCGGUGUAGCGGUGAAAUGCGUAGAUAUCGGAAAGAACACCAGUGGCGAAGGCGACUUCCUGGACCAAUACUGACACUGAGGCGCGAAAGCGUGGGGAGCAAACAGGAUUAGAGACCCUGGUAGUCCACGCCGUCAACGAUGAGAACCUAGCUGUUGGGGAGUUCCCUUCUUAGUAGCGAAGCUAACGCGUUAAGUUCUCCGCCUGGGGAGUACGGCCGCAAGGUUAAAACUCAAAGAAAUUGACGGGGGCCCGCACAAGCGGUGGAGCAUGUGGUUUAAUUCGAUGCAACGCGAAAAACCUUACCUACCCUUGACAUCCUCGGAACUUGUCAGAGAUGAUUUGGUGCCUUCGGGAACCGAGUGACAGGUGCUGCAUGGCUGUCGUCAGCUCGUGUCGUGAGAUGUUGGGUUAAGUCCCGUAACGAGCGCAACCCUCGUCCUUAGUUGCCAGCGAGUCAAGUCGGGAACUCUAAGGAGACUGCCGGUGAUAAACCGGAGGAAGGUGGGGAUGAUGUCAAGUCAUCAUGGCCCUUACGGGUAGGGCUACACACGUGCUACAAUGGGCAGUACAAAGGGUUGCCAAGCCGCGAGGUGGAGCUAAUCCCAGAAAACUGCUCGUAGUCCGGAUUGGAGUCUGCAACUCGACUCCAUGAAGUUGGAAUCGCUAGUAAUCGCGAAUCAGCAUGUCGCGGUGAAUACGUUCUCGGGCCUUGUACACACCGCCCGUCACACCAUGGGAGUG
rnacentral:rRNA from 1 species